rnacentral:antisense_RNA from 1 species
CUUCGGUAAACGUUACUUACGUGCAUCUCAUAAAUCAGGUGUCUGAGUUCUCAGGAUGUGGCUGCAGUCUACCAUUGAAUUACAUCCUGUGAGCAAUGUUGUCCGAUUUCACUGGCCAGCACAUUCUUCUCGAGUGUGGGAUUGGUUUAUGCAAGCCCUAGAAAGGAUUUUGAUAAGCCACCAGCUUAAGGCCGGCUGAAAAAGAAGAAAGAAGAAAGGAGGGCAUAUGUGGGUCAGCUCACUCGGACUAGAAGAAGAAUCAGCUUUUCUUGUGCACGUGCAACAGUGGAAGUGAUGGCUGACUGUGCGUUGGCUCCAUAAGAAGAACGUCACAGAAAGCAAAAUGGUGCCAGCUCAACACCAGUAUCCUCAGACGCUUCAGACAGCAAAACCUGUUAAUUCCAAUCACAAUUCAUUCUUUCAUUCAGCUCAUGGAAGCAAAGCAGGGCUUUGGGACAUUCAUUCUGGCAAAGUGAAACAAAUGACUUUUUGUGAAUGCUAUUUAAGUUGUUUAAAUUUUCCACAUUGGAAAUAAAGUCACUGCAUUUUUGUGAGGAUAAAACACAAAUUGUGGUGGAGUCCAGCGUCAUGGUAACAAUAAUAUUCCUACUAAAUUAAGACACUAAUGAAACAGAAAUGUGAUUGGAACAGGUCGUGGUGCACACACAAUUUGUUAUUGCAUAUAAAUAAAUGUCAAUAUUCUAUAAAUUGAAAUAGAUGUACGUGACAAAAUUUACAAAA